rnacentral:rRNA from 1 species
GACGAACGCUGGCGGCGUGCUUAACACAUGCAAGUCGAACGGAAAGGCCCUGCUUUUGUGGGGUGCUCGAGUGGCGAACGGGUGAGUAACACGUGAGUAACCUGCCCUUGACUUUGGGAUAACUUCAGGAAACUGGGGCUAAUACCGGAUAGGAGCUCCUGCUGCAUGGUGGGGGUUGGAAAGUUUCGGCGGUUGGGGAUGGACUCGCGGCUUAUCAGCUUGUUGGUGGGGUAGUGGCUUACCAAGGCUUUGACGGGUAGCCGGCCUGAGAGGGUGACCGGCCACAUUGGGACUGAGAUACGGCCCAGACUCCUACGGGAGGCAGCAGUGGGGAAUAUUGCACAAUGGGCGGAAGCCUGAUGCAGCAACGCCGCGUGCGGGAUGACGGCCUUCGGGUUGUAAACCGCUUUCGCCUGUGACGAAGCGUGAGUGACGGUAAUGGGUAAAGAAGCACCGGCUAACUACGUGCCAGCAGCCGCGGUGAUACGUAGGGUGCGAGCGUUGUCCGGAUUUAUUGGGCGUAAAGGGCUCGUAGGUGGUUGAUCGCGUCGGAAGUGUAAUCUUGGGGCUUAACCCUGAGCGUGCUUUCGAUACGGGUUGACUUGAGGAAGGUAGGGGAGAAUGGAAUUCCUGGUGGAGCGGUGGAAUGCGCAGAUAUCAGGAGGAACACCAGUGGCAAAGGCGGUUCUCUGGGCCUUUCCUGACGCUGAGGAGCGAAAGCGUGGGGAGCGAACAGGCUUAGAUACCCUGGUAGUCCACGCUGUAAACGGUGGGUACUAGGUGUGGGGUCCAUUCCACGGGUUCCGUGCCGUAGCUAACGCUUUAAGUACCCCGCCUGGGGAGUACGGCCGCAAGGCUAAAACUCAAAGGAAUUGACGGGGCCCCGCACAAGCGGCGGAGCAUGCGGAUUAAUUCGAUGCAACGCGUAGAACCUUACCUGGGUUUGACAUGGAUCGGGAGCGCUCAGAGAUGGGUGUGCCUCUUUUGGGGUCGGUUCACAGGUGGUGCAUGGCUGUCGUCAGCUCGUGUCGUGAGAUGUUGGGUUAAGUCCCGCAACGAGCGCAACCCUUGUUCACUGUUGCCAGCACGUUAUGGUGGGGACUCAGUGGAGACCGCCGGGGUCAACUCGGAGGAAGGUGGGGAUGACGUCAAGUCAUCAUGCCCCUUAUGUCCAGGGCUUCACGCAUGCUACAAUGGCUGGUACAGAGAGUGGCGAGCCUGUGAGGGUGAGCGAAUCUCGGAAAGCCGGUCUCAGUUCGGAUUGGGGUCUGCAACUCGACCCCAUGAAGUCGGAGUCGCUAGUAAUCGCAGAUCAGCAACGCUGCGGUGAAUACGUUCCCGGG